AGCGAACGCUGGCGGCAGGCCUAACACAUGCAAGUCGAACGAAGUCUUCGGACUUAGUGGCGGAGGGGUGAGUAACACGUGGGAACGCACCUUUUGGUUCGGAACAACUCAGGGAAACUUGACCUAAUCCCGGAUAAGCCCCUGGGGGGAAAGAUUGAUCGCCGAAAGAGCGGCCCGCUUUAGAUUAGCUAGUUGGUGAGGUAAAGGCUCACGAAGGCUACGAUCUAUAGCUGGUCUGAGAGGAUGAUCAGCAACACUGGGACUGAGACACGGCCGAGACUCCUACGGGAGGCAGCAGUGGGGAAUCUUGCGCAAUGGGCGAAAGCCUGACGCAGCCAUGCCGCGUGAAUGAUGAAGGUCUUAGGAUUGUAAAAUUCUUUUACCAGGGACGAUAAUGACGGUACCUGGAGAAAAAGCCCCGGCUAACUUCGUGCCAGCCGCCGCCGUAAUAC
rnacentral:rRNA from 1 species